rnacentral:tRNA from 1 species
GGAGGCGUGGCCGAGUGGUCGAAGGCGCUCCCCUGCUAAGGGAGUAGGCCCGGAAGGGUCUCGAGGGUUCGAAUCCCUUCGUCUCCG